GACGAACGCUGGCGGCGUGCCUAAUACAUGCAAGUUGAGCGCUGAAGGUUGGUACUUGUACCAACUGGAUGAGCAGCGAACGGGUGAGUAACGCGUGGGGAAUCUGCCUUUGAGCGGGGGACAACAUUUGGAAACGACUGCUAAUACCGCAUAAAAACUUUAAACACAAGUUUUAAGUUUGAAAGAUGCAAUUGCAUCACUCAAAGAUGAUCCCGCGUUGUAUUAGCUAGUUGGUGAGGUAAAGGCUCACCAAGGCGAUGAUACAUAGCCGACCUGAGAGGGUGAUCGGCCACAUUGGGACUGAGACACGGCCCAAACUCCUACGGGAGGCAGCAGUAGGGAAUCUUCGGCAAUGGACGAAAGUCUGACCGAGCAACGCCGCGUGAGUGAAGAAGGUUUUCGGAUCGUAAAACUCUGUUGGUAGAGAAGAACGUUGGUGAGAGUGGAAAGCUCAUCAAGUGACGGUAACUACCCAGAAAGGGACGGCUAACUACGUG
rnacentral:rRNA from 1 species